CAGAAUAAGACAAUGGGUAUGGACAGCAACUGUUGCUUGGUGGGGCAAGUGGGAGCAGUCCUCUCAUGCAGCAGAUGAAAGCUUGAGUGGGAUUGACCAAUGGGUCUGAAUAGGUGUAAGGCAGCUUCUGGUGCCUUUAGCACAGCAACAUCAUUGCAGCGUCUUGGACAAACACUGGGUGGGAUAUCUGCAUGCACCAAACAGCCACUGCCAUCAUUAACUCUGAGUAUAUCUUCCCCUUCCAGUUCCUUUCACGUGUGGUGUUCAAAGAAAUACGAGGGUGGUGCGGCUCCUGCGGAAGAAAACGAGGCUUUAAAGAAUUUUGACGGAGACCCACGUGACCGGAGGAAACCAUCGAGGCAACAGGGAGAGCCUUGCCGGAGGCAGUUGGUUUUGUUGCCCGCUCCCCUUGUUCACAGCGGGAGGA
rnacentral:lncRNA from 1 species